UAGAUGCGAGAGUAGAGCAUAUCAAUAAGCGGAGGAAAAGAAACUAACUAAGGAUUCCCUCAGUAAAGGCGAGUGAAGCGGGAAGAGCUCAAAUUUGAAAUCUUCAAGGUUCUACCUUGACGAAUUGUAGUUUAAAGAAGUGUUUUCGGUUAGAGGAGUUUAGUAAAAGUUCUUUGGAAUAGGACAUCAUAGAGGGUGAGAAUCCCGUAUUUGACUAUUCUUUCUAGCUUUGUGAUACACUUUCAAAGAGUCGGAUUGUUUGGGAAUGCAGUCCAAAAUGGGUGGUAAAUUUCAUCUAAAGCUAAAUAUUGGCGAGAGACCGAUAGCGAACAAGUACCGUGAGGGAAAGAUGAGAAGAACUUUGAAAAGAGAGUUAAACAGUACGUGAAAUUGUCAAAAGGGAAGCGUUUGACACCAGUGUUGUUUUUCCGAAAAUCAAUUAAAAAUUGAUUCAUGCCAGGUUGUAUUGACCUUAUCAGCUUGCAAUUUGGUUUUGGGUCUCUUUUUGAUGCACUUUUCGGUUAACAAGUCAACAUCAAUUUCCUUUGCUGUAAAAAGGUAAGAGGAAGGUGGCUUCAAUUUCGGUUGAGGUGUUUAUAGCCUUUUAUCUCUGCAGUCGGGGAGAUUGAGGUCUGCAGCGUAGAUCCUUCGGGGCUAGAUACAGUUUAUGCUAAGUUAUAGCUUUUCAUAGACAACUUGUUGACUAUGUUUAGUCAUGUAGCUUACUCGUAAGUGCUAUUUUACCUACGCUUAGGAUGUUGACACACGCGCGUGCUCG
rnacentral:rRNA from 1 species